UGGAAGUAAAAAGUCGUAACAAGGUUUCCGUAGGUGAACCUGCGGAAGGAUCAUUAUCGAGUUUUGACCGGGUUGUAGCUGGCCUUGCGAGGCAUGUGCACGCCCUGCUCAUCCACUCUACACCUGUGCACACACUGUAGGCUUCAGAUUGUGAAGUGGGCUCUUUACAGGGCUCGUGAAGCGUCUGUGCCUGCGUUUAUCACAAACCCAAUAAAGUAUCAGAAUGUGUAUUGCGAUGUAACGCAUCUAUAUACAACUUUCAGCAACGGAUCUCUUGGCUCUCGCAUCGAUGAAGAACGCAGCGAAAUGCGAUAAGUAAUGUGAAUUGCAGAAUUCAGUGAAUCAUCGAAUCUUUGAACGCACCUUGCGCUCCUUGGUAUUCCGAGGAGCAUGCCUGUUUGAGUGUCAUGAAAUCUUCAACCUACGAGCUUUUGUGGUUUGUAGGCUUGGACUUGGAGGCUUGUCGGCCGUUGCUGGUCGGCUCCUCUCAAAUGCAUUAGCUUGGUUCCUUGCGGAUCGGCUCUCGGUGUGAUAAUGUCUACGCCGCGACCGUGAAGCGUUUGGGCGAGCUUCUAACGGUCUCUGUUGGAGACAGCUUUAUGACCUCUGACCUCAAAUCAGGUAGGACUACCCGCUGAACUUAAGCAUAUCAAUA
rnacentral:rRNA from 1 species